rnacentral:misc_RNA from 1 species
GUGAAUCAUCAAAUUUUUGAACGCAAAUUGCACUCUCUUCGUAGAGUAUGCCUGUUUGAGGGUCAGCCUAAAAAAAAAUCGACAUAGUUGCUGUUUCGCGUUGACAUUCGUCGGAAAUUGUGUCAUCUUAAACCUUUUGGUUUAAGCGGCUUAAAAUUUUCUUUACGAUUCCACGUAGGUUUUUAAGAUUUUACUUCUUAGUCUUUUAAGGUAUGGAUC